rnacentral:rRNA from 1 species
GACGAACGCUGGCGGCGUGCUUAACACAUGCAAGUCGAACGGAAAGGCCCUGCUUUUGUGGGGUGCUCGAGUGGCGAACGGGUGAGUAACACGUGAGUAACCUGCCCUUGACUUUGGGAUAACUUCAGGAAACUGGGGCUAAUACCGGAUAGGAGCUCCUGCUGCAUGGUGGGGGUUGGAAAGUUUCGGCGGUUGGGGAUGGACUCGCGGCUUAUCAGCUUGUUGGUGGGGUAGUGGCUUACCAAGGCUUUGACGGGUAGCCGGCCUGAGAGGGUGACCGGACAAGUGGGAAUGGGACGGAGACACGGACUACACCGGGAGGCGAGGGAGCGGUAGGGAACACUGUAGACGGGGGGAUAGUCUGAUCCAGCCGUGAGGGGGGGGAGGGGAAGGCGUUAGGGUAGUACAGCUGGCUGAGACGAGACGAGAAUGACAGGAAUGGGUGAAUAAGCACCGGCUAACUACGUG